rnacentral:lncRNA from 1 species
AAAAGUUAACAAAAGAAAAAACUUACAUAUGUUGCAAUGUUUGCAACCGUUCCUCUAUGUGCUUCGCCCAUUGUGAGGAUAGACAUUUUGUCGGGGGGUUGGUGUAGAUGAAACUAUAAGAAGUUGUUGUAGAUGAAAUUGUAGAAGAAGUAUUGUAGAAGAAGUAGUGAGAGUGAUGGUGUGGAAGAAGUGUUGGUGGAGUGGAUGUAUUUAUAGGCAAAUGGAUGGGAGCAUAAAAAGUUGUGCUUGCAU